CCCCUAGUAGCUCAGAUGGUAAAGCAACUGCCUGCAAUGCAGGAGACCCAGGUUCAAUCCCUGGGUUGGGAA
rnacentral:tRNA from 1 species